GAGAAGGGAGUGGAGAGGAAGUAAAAGAAAAAACAGAGAGAGAAAGACGUCGGAGGAGGGGAAGUAGGUCGAGUUUCCCGUCGGCCGGCUACGUCCGAACUCCAUUCGACGACCUCCAGGCGACGCCCACGAGCCCGCAAUUUCUUCGUCCACCGCACCAAUCUUCCUCUUUGCCUUGUCUCGGUACAAUAGAGACCGGGAGAGAAUCGGAAAAAGAAGAGAUUUUUGCUCGUUCGCCGGUGGCCCGUUUGAGUAGCUGUCGUUCCCGUCGAAAGCUCCACCAGCUGGCUGCCGUUCGUCGUCAAAGAAGUCACCCGAGCCAGUUAUCUACGUUUUCUAUGUGAUUUUCUGGCGUUCGUGCAUCACGGUUCGACCAUGGACGGAACCUCCACUGGAAAACCAUUCCCCUCGCCGGAGCAUUGCCUGCGGUUUGAGGCCGCCACAGGCAGUACUAUAUUUCCUCGCCCUUAGUCUGCAUAUAUGUGUUUGGGUUACUGGAACGGUGGUUGUUUGUUUAUGUGCGUUCUCGGCAAUAUCAAAGUCGCCGGAUCCGGUCCA